GAAAUGCGAUAAGUAAUGUGAAUUGCAGAAUUCCGUGAAUCAUCGAAUCUUUGAACGCACAUUGCGCCCUCUGGUAUUCCGGGGGGCAUGCCUGUCCGAGCGUCAUUGCGAACCCCUCAAGCACGGCUUGUGUGAUGGGCCCUCCCGCGUCUUGGUCGUCAAGACGGGCCCGAAAAACAGUGGCGGCUUCGCGGUUAUCCGAUCAGUCAGAGCGUAUGGGGACUUUCUCUCUGUCACACGCCCGCGGCGCGGACCGACGCCUGUCGACCUUUAUUCAUCUUUUUCUCGGUUGACCUCGGAUCAGGUAGGGAUACCCGCUGAACUUAAGC
rnacentral:misc_RNA from 1 species